AUUUGGCCUAAGUGGACGAUAUACCUUAUUGAUGUAACCCAGUCGGGCCCUUCGUAGCAGGAACAUCGAUGCUUAACCAACCACAGCCAGUCUUUUAUGACCGCCUCCACCUUAUUCUAUAGUGAGAACAGAAGCCGAAGAUAGCUACUAGGUAAUGGUGACGGCUAAGACCCCUAGUACUUACCUAGUAGGUAGCUAGGCUAUACCUAGUAUACUAGGUAGUUACCAUUAGGCUAGAUAGCCUAGCAUCGGAUCCAAAAUGUCGCCAAAGGCUAAGAAUACCAGUGAGAUUUCCCAUGAACCCUGCUAGAUCUGCAACAAUCAGACACCCACAGGAAGAAGUGACUGCAUCACCUAUACCCAAUAUCAGGCUUUGCUACAGAAUGAAAGGAUAGAAAUCCCAGAAGUGUAUUUUAGAGAUAUAAAAUCACGCCAAAGCUGACCUGCAGAAACAAAUGCAAUAUUGAUUAUCAGUCCGAAGGUUUAGUCUUGGAAAUUUGAACAAGGAAGCA